rnacentral:piRNA from 1 species
UGAGUACUGAGUUUCCCUCAAACACGCAC